UUUGACCUCAAAUCAG
rnacentral:rRNA from 2 species